rnacentral:rRNA from 1 species
AAUGGAGGAAACUCUGAUGCAGCGAUGCCGCGUGAGUGAAGAAGGCCUUUGGGUUGUAAAGCUCUUUCGUCGGGGAAGAAAAUGACUGUACCCGAGUAAGAAGGUCCGGCUAACUUCGUGCCAGCAGCCGCGGUAAUACGAAGGGACCUAGCGUAGUUCGGAAUUACUGGGCAUAAAGAGUUCGUAGGUGGUUGAAAAAGUUGGUGGUGAAAUCCCAGAGCUCAACUCUGGAACUGCCAUCAAAACUUUUCAGCUAGAGUUUGAUAGAGGAAAGCAGAAUUUCUAGUGUAGAGGUGAAAUUCGUAGAUAUUCGGAGGAACACCAAUUGCGAAGGCAGCUCACUGGGCCGCUAUCGACGCUGAGGAGCGAAAGCUAGGGGAGCAAACAGGAUU